rnacentral:rRNA from 1 species
GAUGAACGCUGGCGGCGUGCUUAACACAUGCAAGUCGAACGGUCCAAAGGAGCUUGCUCCAGAGGAUAGUGGCGAACGGGUGAGUAAUACAUGAACAACCUGCCCCCCGGAUGGGAGUAGCAGCUCGAAAGGGCUGGUAAUACCGAAUACGAUCCCCGGGGCGCAUGCCUUGGGGAUGAAAGAUGGCUUAGUCAUCGCUAUCACCGGGGGAGGGGUUCGUGGCCCAUUAGCUAGUUGGUGUAGGUAACGGCUCACCAAGGCUACGAUGGGUAGCUGGUCUGAGAGGACGACCAGCCACAUUGGGACUGAGAUACGGCCCAGACUCCUACGGGAGGCAGCAGUGAGGAAUUUUCCGCAAUGGGCGAAAGCCUGACGGAGCGACGCCGCGUGGAUGAUGAAGGCCUUCGGUUGUAAAGUCCUUCAGGAGAAGAAACGCUACCUUGCAAAUAGUUAGGUAGUCUGACGGUAUUCCCAGAAGAAGCUCCGGCCAACUACGUGCCAGC